GAUGAACGCUGGCGGCGUGCCUAAUACAUGCAAGUCGAGCGAACAGACGAGGAGCUUGCUCCUCUGACGUUAGCGGCGGACGGGUGAGUAACACGUGGAUAACCUACCUAUAAGACUGGGAUAACUUCGGGAAACCGGAGCUAAUACCGGAUAAUAUAUUGAACCGCAUGGUUCAAUAGUGAAAGACGGUUUUGCUGUCACUUAUAGAUGGAUCCGCGCUGCAUUAGCUAGUUGGUAAGGUAACGGCUUACCAAGGCAACGAUGCAUAGCCGACCUGAGAGGGUGAUCGGCCACACUGGAACUGAGACACGGUCCAGACUCCUACGGGAGGCAGCAGUAGGGAAUCUUCCGCAAUGGGCGAAAGCCUGACGGAGCAACGCCGCGUGAGUGAUGAAGGUCUUCGGAUCGUAAAACUCUGUUAUUAGGGAAGAACAAAUGUGUAAGUAACUGUGCACAUCUUGACGGUACCUAAUCAGAAAGCCACGGCUAACUACGUG
rnacentral:rRNA from 1 species